GGGUUGUGAGGUUAAGCGACUAAGCGUACACGGUGGAUGCCCUGGCAGUCAGAGGCGAUGAAGGACGUGCUAAUCUGCGAUAAGCGUCGGUAAGGUGAUAUGAACCGUUAUAACCGGCGAUUUCCGAAUGGGGAAACCCAGUGUGAUUCGUCACACUAUCGUUAACUGAAUACAUAGGUUAACGAAGCGAACCGGGGGAACUGAAACAUCUAAGUACCCCGAGGAAAAGAAAUCAACCGAGAUUCCCCCAGUAGCGGCGAG
rnacentral:rRNA from 1 species